rnacentral:lncRNA from 1 species
UUACCAUUGUAGCUAUCUUGAUGCAUACCUGGUAGAAAAGAAGUUUGGUUGCCUGCACGGGGGCCUUCUCCAGGGUCUCUGUCAUUGUGCUGUGGCUUGGCACCCUAAGUUGAGCACAGUUCUUUCAGUGAGUGCUAAAUAAGAAGAGUUCAGAUCACGAGUUCUUGGGACUAACCUUUUUAAAAAAAGUCCAUGUUUGAUGGAGUUGGAGUGAGCAUAACACAGGAUGGCUCUUUAGGGUUUUAAUCUCAGAGUCCCAGGUCCUUUUCUGAUUGUCCAUCAUAUUACAUUUUUUCCUUCUGGAAUUGUCCCAACUUAGUUUCAUAAGGGUCAAGGCUCUUUCACAGUAUUAAACUUUGAUUCCUCAAGGAACUGACCACUCUGACCAUGUGCAUUUGAGUGUUGUUUUAAUUACAAAAGUUUUACACUGUCAUUGCAAAAAGUCCCAACUACCACACAAGUGUAAGAAGAAAAAAGCCAUAGUCUCCCUCAUCUAAUUUCUUUCUCUGGAGGUAACAGUGGGAAUAGUUUAUGUUCCAAGUAGUUGCUGUCAGACUUACUGCACCUUCCGUAUCCAU